rnacentral:rRNA from 1 species
GACAGAGGGUGCAAACGUUGUUCGGAAUUACUGGGCGUAAAGCGCGUGUAGGCGGCUUCGCAAGUCGGAUGUGAAAUCCCACGGCUCAACCGUGGAAGUGCAUUCGAAACUGCAAGGCUAGAGUUCUGGAGAGGAAGGUGGAAUGCUUGGUGUAGAGGUGAAAUUCGUAGAUAUCAAGCGGAACACCGGUGGCGGAAGGCGGCCUUCUGGACAGUAACUGACGCUGAGACGCGAAAGCGUGGGGAG